GACGAACGCUGGCGGCGUGCUUAACACAUGCAAGUCGAACGGAAAGGCCCUGCUUUUGUGGGGUGCUCGAGUGGCGAACGGGUGAGUAACACGUGAGUAACCUGCCCUUGACUUUGGGAUAACUUCAGGAAACUGGGGCUAAUACCGGAUAGGAGCGCCUUCUGCAUGGUGGGGGUUGGAAAGUUUCGGCGGUUGGGGAUGGACUCGCGGCUUAUCAGCUUGUUGGUGGGGUAGUGGCUUACCAAGGCUUUGACGGGUAGCCGGCCUGAGAGGGUGACCGGCCACAUUGGGACUGAGAGACGGCGCAGACUGCUACGGGAGGCAGCAGUGGGGAAUAUUGCACAAUGGGCGGAAGCCUGAUGCAGCAACGCCGCGUGCGGGAUGACGGCCUUCGGGUUGUAAACCGCUUUCGCCUGUGACGAAGCGUGAGUGACGGUAAUGGGUAAAGAAGCACCGGCUAACUACGUG
rnacentral:rRNA from 1 species